rnacentral:rRNA from 1 species
GUUUCGGCAAGGGGGUCAUCCCGACUUACCAACCCGAUGCAAACUGCGAAUACCGGAGAAUGUUAUCACGGGAGGCACACGGCGGGUGCUAACGUCCGUCGUGAAGAGGGAAACAACCCAGACCGCCAGCUAAGGUCCCAAAGUCAUGGUUAAGUGGGAAACGAUGUGGGAAGGCCCAGACAGCCAGGAUGUUGGCUUAGAAGCAGCCAUCAUUUAAAGAAAGCGUAAUAGCUCACUGGUCGAGUCGGCCUGCGCGGAAGAUGUAACGGGGCUAAACCAUGCACCGAAGCUGCGGCAGCGACGCUUAUGCGUUGUUGGGUAGGGGAGCGUUCUGUAAGCCUGUGAAGGUGUGCUGUGAGGUAUGCUGGAGGUAUCAGAAGUGCGAAUGCUGACAUAAGUAACGAUAAAGCGGGUGAAAAGCCCGCUCGCCGGAAGACCAAGGGUUCCUGUCCAACGUUAAUCGGGGCAGGGUGAGUCGACCCCUAAGGCGAGGCCGAAAGGCGUAGUCGAUGGGAAACAGGUUAAUAUUCCUGUACUUGGUGUUACUGCGAAGGGGGGACGGAGAAGGCUAUGUUGGCCGGGCGACGGUUGUCCCGGUUUAAGCGUGUAGGCUGGUUUUCCAGGCAAAUCCGGAAAA